GACGGUAUCGGGGGCGGGAUGAGGCGGGACGCCAUCCAACAAGAAGCGGAUGUGUCUGCCUGGAGGAGGCGUGGCCUGAGACAGGGCGAGGCGGGACCCUAGCCAAUAAGAGUCUGUGAACGUUUGCUCCUUUUCUGGAGUCUGGAGCCGCUGGAGGACAAGUGACUUUCAGGGUACAGCCUCUAAACUGGAAGAACAGGAGAGAAAAGGAAGCACUAACCUUCGGAUGAGAGAAAGGAAUAGGCUUGGUCUCAGUGUAGGAAGCCUGCUGUCUGCUCAUUGGACAUAGAGAUACAACAUGGGGAGCUGUCUGAAUGCACACUGCAGUGGCGGCACGUCAGGUCUCUCCAUCCACACGGAAGACCGGAGUGACUGCAGCAGCUCGUGGAAGGAACUGCCCUACUUAGCCAAGAAGGAAACUGAGGCUCACAGCAGGUCCAGGCACCCCACACCCAAAGACAGAGGACCCAGCCUGGUACCUUGUGCUCCAAAGACACAGGCCCCCAUAAAGGAGCCUGGAAGCUUGACCCCAGAGGGACAGGUUACAGGAAAUGACCAGCAAGUGCCAGCAGCUAGAGUGGCCAGCAGCUCUGACCGUCCUCCUGGAGCUCAAGAGCAAGGAAGGUCCUAAAAACUAAUGACGAGGCCGGGCGGUGGUGGCGCACGCCUUCAGUCCCAGCACUCGGGAGGCAGAGGCAGGCGGAUCUCUGUGAGUUCUGGUCUACAGAGUGAGAUCCAGGACAGGCACCCAAACUACACUGAA